rnacentral:rRNA from 1 species
CAGUAGCCGCGGUAAUACGAGGGGGGCAAGCGUUGUUCGGAAUUAUUGGGCGUAAAGGGUGCGUAGGCGGCUUGACAAGUCUUGUGUGAAAUCUAUGGGCUCAACCCAUAGUCUGCACGGGAAACUGUCGGGCUUGAGAAUGGGAGAGGUGAGUGGAAUUUCCGGUGUAGCGGUGAAAUGCGUAGAUAUCGGAAGGAACACCUGUGGCGAAAGCGGCUCACUGGACCAUUUCUGACGCUGAUGAACGAAAGCUAGGGGAGCAAACAGGAUUAGAUACCCCAGUAGUCCCUGUCUCUUAUAC